CAAUCCUUUGCCAUGUGCUCUGGGAUGACCCUGCAUGAGCAGGAGGUUGGACCAGAUGACCCACUGUGGUCCCUCCCAACCUGACCCAUCCUCUGAUUUUGUAAAUACUUCCUUUCUUUUC